CUUUUGCAGCCCGACCUGAGUGGAGCUCUUUUUUAUUUUUUUUCUGAGAAAAAAAUAAAAAAAGCGGGAACGGAGGGCGGAAUUGUCU
rnacentral:misc_RNA from 1 species